UGCUCAGUGGCGCAAUGGCAAACGCUUCUGACUACGGAUCAGAAUAUUCCAGGUUCAAAUCCUGGCUGGGUCG
rnacentral:tRNA from 1 species